CGACCGGCGCACGGGUGAGUAACGCGUGGGUAACCUGCCUCAUACAGGGGGAUAACAGUUAGAAAUGACUGCUAAUACCGCAUAAGACCACAGCACCGCAUGGUGCAGGGGUAAAAACUCCGGUGGUAUGAGAUGGACCCGCGUCUGAUUAGGUAGUUGGUGGGGUAACGGCCUACCAAGCCGACGAUCAGUAGCCGACCUGAGAGGGUGACCGGCCACAUUGGGACUGAGACACGGCCCAA
rnacentral:rRNA from 1 species